CAUCAGUAGGACAGGAUGGAGCUCCGUCCACUCCAUGUGAUGCUCUUGCUGACGGGACUCAUCCACUGCAUACCAACAGUGUUACUAAAACCUGAGGCGAAUGGCUCACAGUCAUCAAAACCUUCACAGGACAAUGAUGCUGUUAAUCAGACUACAGCAGGUUAGUGUGUAUUUAACACAUGUUGUCUAUUCCAUUACCAAUUAAAAGUGUGGACAUGUAGACAUGUAUUUUGUCUUUG